ACGUAGGGUGCAAGCGUUAAUCGGAAUUACUGGGCGUAAAGCGUGCGCAGGCGGCUUUUUAAGAUAGAUGUGAAAUCCCCGGGCUUAACCUGGGAGGUGCAUUUGUGACUGUAUAGCUAGAGUACAGGAGAGGGGGAUGGAAUUCCGAGUGUAGCAGUGAAAUGCGUAGAUAUGAGGAGGAACACCGAUGGCGAAGGCAAUCCCCUGGACUUGAACUGACGCUCAUGCACGAAAGCGUGGGGAGCAAACAG
rnacentral:rRNA from 1 species